CUCAAUAUUCCUAAUAAGCAGGAAGGUUUACGUACAUAGUCUACGCUCAGAAUUUUAAUUUGAAUCGAUCUAUCGUAACGGAUCGUCUCGACUCUUUCUAAAACUUUGAGGAUCCUUUGCGCGCAGCGAUUUCGAUGUCUGUAAAAAUUCCAAACAAACUUGGAAAGCCUUCCGUAUCCACGGAAAUAAUAUUAUUUGACAUGCGUGGAAUGCGAAGAAGACAAUUAUUCGCCCUGGACGAGAUCCGGGUCAUCGAUCGAAUACAAGAGAAUCGACAAACGGAACUCUUUCCAGAAUUUCGCAGCCAACGCACAAGAUCCCGAAUCUCGUCUCGCUACUUACUAUUACGUUUACGUAGAUCGUGACGUUUAUGGUAAGUAAAUAAUAAUUGUGACGGAAGAGCACCAUAGGUCACCUCGCGUAUUCUCGCCAGUUCCACGACACAAAGUCGUCAAAGUCACCGUGCCACAGAAUCAAGAAGACAAUCGGCUCUCAACGAUAUCCGGGUUAUCGAUCAAACGCAAGAGGAUCAGGAAUCGUUUCCGGAACGUUGUAGCCGGAGCACGUGUGCCAAGUAGCUGUUUAUAUUAUACCAUACAUCGUGGAACAUAUAACUGGAAAUAAAUAAUUACGUAAAAAGAUCGGCAAGGAUGGCGCGUCGGUAUGAAUCAGGCUUUAUACGCUAUGGUACAACGGGCAGAGCCUUGAGAGAGCACUCGGCCAACGAGAAAAAGAGAUUUGCAUGCACGCGGAGGCGUGGGUUUCUCGAACCGAGUUCUCUAUAGCCGCCAGCCUCUUCUUAAGUGGAUAAAUUCGAUGCAGUUUCCUUACGCUGGUAUUGGCAUUAGCGUCGGUCUACAGAGUACACCGGCUUGGAUUUGUAUCAUCGUAAAAGUGACGCAACCGGUGAAAGCCGGGACACCAGGAUUCCACGAGGUAAAGUUCAGCUCGAGCGUAUCAGUGUGGGAAUCAGGCGACUUUUCUACGCUUCAACUAUGAGAGGAACGCAUCGAUCAUUCGUUCCUUCGCGCUGUUGCAAGGUGUUCGAUGGAAAACAGAUGCAUGGGAAUCGGAUGCACGAGACGUUACUUUGUGGAUUUUACUUUUGACGAGGAUUGUCUGCCAUUUGUUAGAAAGUUGACUCUGUAAUUAUGGUGUUCUGGAAACCUUAAUGAACUGGAUAUGUCAAGGUUCGUUUAUGAAAGGAGGCAAUUUACGUACUUAAAAGCGACUGAUAUUUAUUUUGUAAAAAGACUCGAUCAAUACGCCAAGAAAAUUAAAACUCGUAUGAGACGUC